AUUGAACGCUGGCGGCAUGCCUUACACAUGCAAGUCGAACGGCAGCGGACCUUCGGGUGCCGGCGAGUGGCGAACGGGUGAGUAAUAUAUCGGAACGUACCUUUCAGUGGGGGAUAACGUAGCGAAAGUUACGCUAAUACCGCAUAUUCUGUGAGCAGGAAAGCAGAGGAUCGCAAGACCUUGCGCUGAUUGAGCGGCCGAUAUCAGAUUUAGCUAGUUGGUGAGGUAAAGGCUCACCAAGGCGACGAUCUGUAGCGGGUCUGAGAGGAUGAUCCGCCACACUGGAACUGAGACACGGUCCAGACUCCUACGGGAGGCAGCAGUGGGGAAUUUUGGACAAUGGGCGCAAGCCUGAUCCAGCCAUGCCGCGUGAGUGAAGAAGGCCUCGGUUGUAAGAC
rnacentral:rRNA from 1 species